GACUGUGGCCAUACCAGCCUGUUAUUGCCAGAUCUCGUUAGAUCUCAAAAGCUAAGCAGGUCUGGGCCUGGUUAGUAGUUGGAUGAAGACCACUGUGAAUUCCAGGUGCCACAGUGG
rnacentral:rRNA from 1 species